CCUACGGGCGGCAGCAGUGAGGAAUAUUGGUCAAUGGGCGUAAGCCUGAACCAGCCAAGUCGCGUGAGGGAUGAAGGUUCUAUGGAUCGUAAACCUCUUUUAUAAGGGAGCAAGGUGCAGGUCGGGACCUGCUGUGAGAGUACCUGAAGAAAAAGCAUCGGCUAACUCCGUGCCAGCAGCCGCGGUAAUACGGAGGAUGCGAGCGUUAUCCGGAUUUAUUGGGUUUAAAGGGUGCGCAGGCGGAGGCACAAGUCAGCGGUAAAAUCGCGGGGCUCAACCCCGCUCCGCCGUUGAAACUGUGUCCCUUGAGUGCGCGAAGGGUAGGCGGAAUGCGUGGUGUAGCGGUGAAAUGCAUAGAUAUCACGCAGAACUCCGAUCGCGAAGGCAGCCUACCGGCGCGCAACUGACGCUCAUGCACGAAAGCGUGGGUAUCGAACAGGAUUAGAUACCCUGGUAGUC
rnacentral:rRNA from 1 species